AAUAAUUUUACAACUCACUUGCAUUUCAGACUUUUUACCUUGUGAGGAUGCAAAUCCAGACUGUGACAAGUUUCCACCGGAAUCAUGUACAAGAGAUUCAUUUAAAGGAUGGGCAAGGCAGAAUUGUAGACAGUUUUGUAACAUGUGUGCUCGUCCUACGCAAAAUCCGUCGUUUACAGGACCUACAGGAACUUCAGGAUUAGUAAACACGACCCAUCCUACUCCAGAGAUACCCCACUCGUCAGUCGACCCUGUAAUGUUGACGUCAGCAAAACCAUGAUAUUAUUAAUACUUCAUUACUUAAAAAUAAUAAAAAUGAAUGGGAAUA